rnacentral:rRNA from 1 species
GGGUUGUGAGGUUAAGCGACUAAGCGUACACGGUGGAUGCCCUGGCAGUCAGAGGCGAUGAAGGACGUGCUAAUCUGCGAUAAGCGCCGGUAAGGUGAUAUGAACCGUUAUAACCGGCGAUUUCCGAAUGGGGAAACCCAGUGUGAUUCGUCACACUAUCAUUAACUGAAUCCAUAGGUUAAUGAGGCGAACCGGGGGGAACUGAAACAUCUAAGUACCCCGAGGAAAAGAAAUCAACCGAGAUUCCCCCAGUAGCGGCGAGCGAACGGGGAGGAGCCCAGAGCCUGAAUCAGCAUGUGUGUUAGUGGAAGCGUCUGGAAAGGCGCGCGAUACAGGGUGACAGCCCCGUACACAAAAGCGCAUGUGCUGUGAGCUCGAUGAGUAGGGCGGGACACGUGGUAUCCUGUCUGAAUAUGGGGGGACCAUCCUCCAAGGCUAAAUACUCCUGACUGACCGAUAGUGAACCAGUACCGUGAGGGAAAGGCGAAAAGAACCCCGGCGAGGGGAGUGAAAAAGAACCUGAAACCGUGUACGUACAAGCAGUGGGAGCACAGGUUUACCUGUGUGACUGCGUACCUUUUGUAUAAUGGGUCAGCGACUUAUAUUCUGUAGCAAGGUUAACCGAAUAGGGGAGCCGGAGGGAAACCGAGUCUUAAUUGGGCGUUAAGUUGCAGGGUAUAGACCCGAAACCCGGUGAUCUAGCCAUGGGCAGGUUGAAGGUUGGGUAACACUAACUGGAGGACCGAACCGACUAAUGUUGAAAAAUUAGCGGAUGACCUGUGGCUGGGGGUGAAAGGCCAAUCAAACCGGGAGAUAGCUGGUUCUCCCCGAAAGCUAUUUAGGUAGCGCCUCGUGAAUUCAUCUCCGGGGGUAGAGCACUGUUUCGGCUAGGGGGGCCAUCCCGGCUUACCAACCCGAUGCAAACUGCGAAUACCGGAGAAUGUUAUCACGGGAGACACACGGCGGGUGCUAACGUCCGUCGUGAAGAGGGAAACAACCCAGACCGCCAGCUAAGGUCCCAAAGUCAUGGUUAAGUGGGAAACGAUGUGGGAAGGCCCAGACAGCCGUGAUGUUGGCUUAGAAGCAGCCAUCAUUUAAAGAAAGCGUAAUAGCUCACUGGUCGAGUCGGCCUGCGCGGAAGAUGUAACGGGCUAAACCAUGCACCGAAGCUGCGGCAGCGAACGUAUCACCCAAGACAACUUUACGGAGUUGACGAUUGACGGAGCGAAGCGACGUCAAAGCGUUCAUUAAAGUCGAGUUGGCUUAGGGAUACGUUCGUUGGGUAGGGGGAGCGUUCUGUAAGCCUGUGAAGGUGUGUCGUGAGGCAUGCUGGAGGUAUCAGAAGUGCGAAUGCUGACAUAAGUAACGAUAAAGCGGGUGAAAAGCCCGCUCGCCGGAAGACCAAGGGUUCCUGUCCAACGUUAAUCGGGGCAGGGUGAGUCGACCCCUAAGGCGAGGCCGAAAGGCGUAGUCGAUGGGAAACGGGUUAAUAUUCCCGUACUUGGUGUUACUGCGAAGGGGGGGGACGGAGAAGGCUAUGUUGGCCGGGCGACGGUUGUCCCGGUUUAAGCGUGUAGGUGUGUGUUCCAGGUAAAUCCGGUUCACUUUAACACUGAGGCGUGACGACGAGGCACUACGGUGCUGAAGCAACAAAUGCCCUGCUUCCAGGAAAAGCCUCUAAGCAUCAGGUAACACGAAAUCGUACCCCAAACCGACACAGGUGGUCAGGUAGAGAAUACCAAGGCGCUUGAGAGAACUCGGGUGAAGGAACUAGGCAAAAUGGUGCCGUAACUUCGGGAGAAGGCACGCUGACACGUAGGUGAAGUGAUUUACUCAUGGAGCUGAAGUCAGUCGAAGAUACCAGCUGGCUGCAACUGUUUAUUAAAACACAGCACUGUGCAAACACGAAAGUGGACGUAUACGGUGUGACGCCUGCCCGGUGCCGGAAGGUUAAUUGAUGGGGUCAGCGCAAGCGAAGCUCCUGAUCGAAGCCCCGGUAAACGGCGGCCGUAACUAUAACGGUCCUAAGGUAGCGAAAUUCCUUGUCGGGUAAGUUCCGACCUGCACGAAUGGCGUAAUGAUGGCGGGCUGUCUCCACCCGAGACUCAGUGAAAUUGAACUCGCUGUGAAGAUGCAGUGUACCCGCGGCAAGACGGAAAGACCCCGUGAACCUUUACUAUAGCUUGACACUGAACAUUGAGCCUUGAUGUGUAGGAUAGGUGGGAGGCUUUGAAGUGUGGACGCCAGUCUGCAUGGAGCCGACCUUGAAAUACCACCCUUUAAUGUUUGAUGUUCUAACGUGGACCCGUAAUCCGGGUUGCGGACAGUGUCUGGUGGGUAGUUUGACUGGGGCGGUCUCCUCCUAAAGAGUAACGGAGGAGCACGAAGGUUGGCUAAUCCUGGUCGGACAUCAGGAGGUUAGUGCAAUGGCAUAAGCCAGCUUGACUGCGAGCGUGACGGCGCGAGCAGGUGCGAAAGCAGGUCAUAGUGAUCCGGUGGUUCUGAAUGGAAGGGCCAUCGCUCAACGGAUAAAAGGUACUCCGGGGAUAACAGGCUGAUACCGCCCAAGAGUUCAUAUCGACGGCGGUGUUUGGCACCUCGAUGUCGGCUCAUCACAUCCUGGGGCUGAAGUAGGUCCCAAGGGUAUGGCUGUUCGCCAUUUAAAGUGGUACGCGAGCUGGGUUUAGAACGUCGUGAGACAGUUCGGUCCCUAUCUGCCGUGGGCGCUGGAGAACUGAGGGGGGCUGCUCCUAGUACGAGAGGACCGGAGUGGACGCAUCACUGGUGUUCGGGUUGUCAUGCCAAUGGCACUGCCCGGUAGCUAAAUGCGGAAGAGAUAAGUGCUGAAAGCAUCUAAGCACGAAACUUGCCCCGAGAUGAGUUCUCCCUGAGACUUAGAGUCUCCUGAAGGAACGUUGAAGACGACGACGUUGAUAGGCCGGGUGUGUAAGCGCAGCGAUGCGUUGAGCUAACCGGUACUAAUGAACCGUGAGGCUUAACCUUACAACGCCGAAG